CUGUAACUAUGUUAGAUGUCAUGUUGUCCUUAGAAGUUUAUAUAUUAAGGACAAUAUAUUGAUCAGGCUAGGUUAUGUUGUGAUAAUACACAACCCUGGGUGUUCUUUUCUGCUUUGUAUAAUGGUGGCUGUGACUCUCCAUGAGCUGGCUCAGCACUCCAGUCAGCUUUGAUGUCAGUGACCAUCUAAUCAGUGUGGUCCCCCUGUCGCUGCAGUAAAAGAGGGGCAAGGCUGCUAGACAAGUGCUAGGGACAGAGGCCUACAUCUGGAAACGAAUCAUUCUUUUUCUUAUAUGUCCUUGUCCCAACAGAGCUAAGUGUGCUUCCAUAUCAGGGAUGUGUGAUUGUCCAGACAGACAGUGGCAUCUGUGUAGGAGACAUUAUUGCAUUAUUGACAUUAUAUGCUGUACCUAGCAUGAAGUAGACAUUUGAAUCAGGUCUGGGCUAACUACUGGUCCAAUCACCUAGGGCAGUGCCUUCAUCUUUCUUAGAUUAUCUCUCUGUAAAUCAGAAGCAUAGUGAUGACUUCAGAGACUGUAAAGGAGAAGUAAGAUUAGCUUAAUGAAGAAAAUGACAGUACUGGGCAUUUACAUCUGUGGACUGUAAAUGCUGCAUUUAUCACUGUGUGGAUGGUUUUGCAUAAGAACUUCCUGAGAAGGCAUGUGAUUAUUUGCCUCUAUUUGUAGUUGUAGGUCACUGGAAAUAUUAUAGUCUCUUCUGGGGCACUGAAGUUGUGGAAUACAUUUGAGGCUGGCCAUCAGGGUGGAGAAAUGACCCAAAGCUGUCUUUUUGUGGUUUUCUAAAGAAACUAACAAUCUUUGACAUGGAAAGCCAAGCAUAGUCUUCAGGAGACACUUGAAGCAUGGCAUUUCCUCCAUGACAGUCUGGCUCUGAACUGCCCUCACUGCUGCUUUCAUAAAGGAUUGCAAGGAAAGAUACUAACUGCCACCAGUGAAUUCCACUAGUGCAGACAGCAUCAGCAAUGGAUGACACCUCCCCUUUGCUGGAAGGAUACUGGAGAAAAAGACUUCAGAGAGAUAAGGGUUGGUAGUUUCAGGUUCCUCAUUUUCCAGAAGAAAUUCCAGGUAGCAAAUUUCUUUUCCAAUGAGUGGACGGAUCUAAGGAAUUUACACACCUAAAUCCCCUGGUAAAGUCACCAACAAAAAGGAACUCCUCAGUACAUAUGAACAAUUGUGUUCCCUACUGUAGAGGUGUUUGCCUUGACUAGGGUCAUCACAAUAUUAUCUACAGUUCUACUGGUGCCAGCUUACUACCAUGUGAUUCAAGAAUGUUGUAGAAAAGAGAUGGACAUUACUGUGUUGUCAAAAGAAAUCAUUUUUACAAGAAAGAAGGCUACUUAGAGCAACUGAGACAACCAGAGGAACAAUGAGAACCCAGUGAAUUGACGCAAUAUAAAAUAAACAUUUGGCAAGUAAUAA
rnacentral:lncRNA from 1 species